rnacentral:rRNA from 1 species
GACGAACCGUGCGAACGUUAUUCGGAAUCACUGGGCUUAAAGCGCGCGUAGGCGGCGUCGCAAGUCGGGGGUGAAAUCCCAUCGGCUCAACCGUGGAAUUGCCUUCGAUACUGCGAUGCUUGAGGGAGGUAGGGGCAGGUGGAACUUCCAGUGGAGCGGUGAAAUGUGUUGAGAUUGGAAGGAACGCCGGUGGCGAAAGCGACCUGCUGGAUCUCUGCUGACGCUGGGGCGCGAAAGCUAGGGUAGCGAACGGG